AUCACUUCUCAGUCUUUUGGCUAAGAUCAUGUGUAGUAUCUGUUCUUACCAGUUGAUAGGUUUGGUUUUAAGAGCUUCACCUUGAUAGACAUUAAGAGAAAUGAGCUCAAAAUGAUUUGGCUCCCAUUUGUAGAAUAUUUGCUGUGGCAUCAUAAAUUUUUCUCUCCAAGCUAAGGUCCCUCCAGAAGGAACGUUCCCU